rnacentral:lncRNA from 1 species
GGGCGGCGCAAAGGUAAGAGCGGCUUCCUCUUCUCCCCGGAGUCUCACGGGGCGCCGUGCCUGUCUUACUUCACUCGCGCUUUAUCGUUCCUGGUUGGCUGCGCGUGGCCACAGAGGCGCCGCUGUCGGGACGCGGGUCGGUCCUGUGUCCACACCGGUCGACGGCGGGUGUGGAGCCGCUGUUGGGACGCGGGUCAGUGUGGCGCUGAUGUUGUGUUUGGGGGGAAUGGCCUUGGCUGAGGAGAUGUGGCCCAGGCGUCUGCGUGGUUCUCGGGGGGGUCCGCGGGCAGGAAGACGGUCCCCGCUGGUCAAGGCUCUCGCUGGGAGUGGCUCCGAGGGCAGGCAGCGUCACAGCCCACCCCAGCUCGAGAUAUGUCCCCUCCCGGCCUUGGCGCCCGGGGAGGUGAAUGGGCCUGUGGAGUCACAGGCUGCUGCCCAGGGCCAGAGGUCCCCACCUAUAGACGUGCUUCUGUUUCCUAAUCUUUUCCUUUUGCUGUUGUUCCUUGCGAAGUUCAGAGAGGCUAAUUUGUGCAAACCAGAUAACCGUGUGUUUCACAGAUCCCAGCAUCAGAAGGGGUGGUCGUUAUACACGCGGGACGAUCCAGAGGCUGGAGGGACAGACCUGGGCCAGAUCCCGUCCUCCUGCUGUGGAGGCCAAAGUCUCAGGCAGCUCAGCUUUGUGACAGGAAGCCCCUGAGGUGUCCUGGGCAGCAAAGGAGCUUGUCGGCCCACUCCCCGGCCCAGGUUCAGGGGCUGCUGGAUUCUGAAGACAAAUGAGGCCUUCCGAGUUUGGUUCUUCUCUCUCGCCUGCCCUUGGGAUUUGCUUGGGCCGCAUGUCCCAUGACCCCGGAGACAGUAGGAGGGCCCUGGCCCUGAGCCAACCCAGUGGGUGGGGGCCGCGUCCCCCCAGAGGGAAUGAGUGUCUGGUGGGGCGGCAGCCACAAGGAGGGCCGCGGCUGCCGGCGGCGGGGAGAGCCUCUUGACUGACAGACCCGGAGCUGCCUGCGCCCUCGCGGGAGGCCCUGUGCUCUGGCGUCACCCUCUGGGACACCCCGUCUGGGACACAAGCGUUUCGUUCCUGAUUCUGGCCGUCCACACUUGUUUGCGCCUGGUGGCCCUGUGGUCUACAGGUCGGGAUACUUUUCCUGAAAGACCCAGGAUCCUGGGAUGGAGGAACUUUCCAGGCACAGCUUCCUGCGGUUGCUCCCUAAGCUGCCUGUCCUUCCCUCUCCUGUCGAGACGCAGGGCUCAGCUGCAUCUCCCUGCCCCGCACAGUCCAUGUGCUCGGAGCCCCGGGGCAGCGGCCCUGGCUGCUGGCCUCUGCCGUUAUCGGGGCUUCGUCCCCAGGUGGCUGGCGGGGCUCUCUGCACCUGCCCGUUGCCCUGAGUUCACGCAGCCGUCCGCCCCCACCUCCUCUGCCCAUCGCAGCCGUCUGUCUGCAGAGCUGGUGCCCACAUACCGACUUCUGGCUGCCAGACACGAGGGCCUGAUCUGGGCUGCACAUGACAGCCACCCCUCCCCACGGUCACCUGGCCUGGGCCCCGGCCAGGGCUUUGUCUCCAGCAGAUGUGUGUGUGUGGGGUGGGGGGCAAGUCGGCAAGAGGCUGGAGCAGAGAGGGGCCCGGGGUUCAGGCGAUCACACUCGGUCCAAGGGCUGGCUCCGGGGCCUUUGUCCCCACGUCCCAGAGCUCUCCGGG